AAAUGAGUAAACAUUCUGGUUAUGGACUCAUCAUGCUCCAUUUUAAACAAUUCAUAUUUAUGCACAAGCAUGUUGAUUUUAGACUCCUUUACUUGAUUGGUUCCCUCAUGGGUUACUUCUAACCUAUCCCAUAUUUCUUUAGCAGAUGAGCAAGUAGAAAUGCGAUUAAAUUCGUUUGCAUCAAGAGCACAAUAAAGAACAUUCAUUACUUUAGCAUUUAAUUGGGCCAUCUUCUUAUCAACCUCAUCCCAUUCUUUCUCGGGUUUGGUUGAUUCCUCACCAUCUAUAAUUUUAGUGGGUGUGUGAGGACCGUUCACUAUGAUACUCCACAUAUCAUAGUCGAGUGCUUGAAUGAAUAUUUUUAUCCGAGCUUUCCAAUAGGUGUAAUUAGACCCAUUGAAAAGUGGAGGUCGGUUGGUGGAUUGCCCCUC
rnacentral:lncRNA from 1 species